CUGCUCAAUGAAUUAAUUUAAAUAGCUGCAGUAUAAAUAACUGUACAAAGGUAGCAUAAUAAUUUGUUUUUUAAUUAAAAACUAGAAUGAAUGAUUUUAUGAAAUAUAAACUGUAUCAAAUUUAAUUAAUAAAUUUAUUAUUUAAAUAAAAAAAUUUAAAUAAAUUUUAAAGACGAGAAGACCCUAUAGAAUUUUUAUAAUAAAUUUAUAUAUUUAUUUAUAACUUUAUUAUUUUAAUUGGGGAAAUUUUAAAAUUUAAAAAAUUUUUAAUUUAAAAAACAUUAAUUUUUGAAGAAUUAAUAUUUUUUUAAAAAAUUAAAAUAAAUUACCUUAGGGACAACAGCAUAAUUUUUUUAAAAAG
rnacentral:rRNA from 1 species